GGUUAAGCGACUAAGCGUACACGGUGGAUGCCCUGGCAGUCAGAGGCGAUGAAGGACGUGCUAAUCUGCGAAAAGCGCCGGCGAGGUGAUAUGAACCUUUGACCCGGCGAUGUCCGAAUGGGGAAACCCAGUGUGAUUCGUCACACUAUCGUUAACUGAAUACAUAGGUUAACGAGGCGAACCGGGGGAACUGAAACAUCUAAGUACCCCGAGGAAAAGAAAUCAACCGAGAUUCCCCCAGUAGCGGCGAGCGAACGGGGAGCAGCCCGGAGUCUGAAUCAGCUUGUGUGUUAGUGGAACGGUCUGGAAAGUCCGACGGUACAGGGUGAUAGUCCCGUACACGAAAAUGCACAGGUUGUGAACUCGAAGAGUAGGGCGGGACACGUGGUAUCCUGUCUGAAUAUGGGGGGACCAUCCUCCAAGGCUAAAUACUCCUGACUGACCGAUAGUGAACCAGUACCGUGAGGGAAAGGCGAAAAGAACCCCGGCGAGGGGAGUGAAAAAGAACCUGAAACCGUGUACGUACAAGCAGUGGGAGCCUACUUGUUAGGUGACUGCGUACCUUUUGUAUAAUGGGUCAGCGACUUAUAUUCUGUAGCAAGGUUAACCGUAUAGGGGAGCCGAAGGGAAACCGAGUCUUAACUGGGCGUUAAGUUGCAGGGUAUAGACCCGAAACCCGGUGAUCUAGCCAUGGGCAGGUUGAAGGUUGGGUAACACUAACUGGAGGACCGAACCGACUAAUGUUGAAAAAUUAGCGGAUGACCUGUGGCUGGGGGUGAAAGGCCAAUCAAACCGGGAGAUAGCUGGUUCUCCCCGAAAGCU
rnacentral:rRNA from 1 species